UUCAUAUGAUCAACUAUUGAUAAAGCAAGGUCACCAUUGGUGAAAAAAAAACAUAUCAUCAUAAAGAAUAUAUGAUUGCAUUUGUUUGAUUUGAGCAACAUAUACUUUGAAUUACCCAGAGAUAAAAUACAUUCUUUUUAUUCUAGUUGUCGGUCUAGUAAUGGAACAUCAGUAGGGACUAUCUAGAUGAUUUAUGAACUAAGUUUGAUGUUGUUAUUUUGCAUGUUCAGUCACUUUGUUAAUAUUUUAGUUUUUGAAUAUUUAAAUUUAUUUAUUUAUUGUUUUAAUUAAAUUAAAUGUAUGGUUGUUACUUUUGAAUGUAUAAUAUGAAUGACAUUUAUUUAUAA